rnacentral:lncRNA from 12 species
CCCCGAUGCCGCUACUGCAGCCCCGUGAGAGGCCCCGAGGAAGUGGGGGUGAGCCACGCCUCAACUCCUGAUGUGCAGACGCGGAGACAUAAACGUUCACUGUUUGAGCUCAGAGAGGCCUAUUUCUUGACUAUCCUCGAGCCUGUGGACACAUAACGCUCCUGGUGUUUUAGAGCACCCAACAGUCCCUCAACAACCCCAUUCUAGAAGUGGGCGGAGGACAUUGAUUCAACCCUGGCCCGGCAGCGUCCUCAUUGCCAAGGAGAAG